UGGGGAAUUUUGGACAAUGGGGGAAACCCUGAUCCAGCCAUCCCGCGUGUGCGAUGAAGGCCUUCGGGUUGUAAAGCACUUUUGGCAGGAAAGAAACGUCAUGGGUUAAUACCCCGUGAAACUGACGGUACCUGCAGAAUAAGCACCGGCUAACUACGUGCCAGCAGCCGCGGUAAUACGUAGGGUGCAAGCGUUAAUCGGAAUUACUGGGCGUAAAGCGUGCGCAGGCGGUUCGGAAAGAAAGAUGUGAAAUCCCAGAGCUCAACUUUGGAACUGCAUUUUUAACUACCGGGCUAGAGUGUGUCAGAGGGAGGUGGAAUUCCGCGUGUAGAAGUGAAAUGCGUAGAUAUGCGGAGGAACACCGAUGGCGAAGGCAGCCUCCUGGGAUAACACUGACGCUCAGGCACGAAAGCGUGGGGAGCAAACAGG
rnacentral:rRNA from 1 species